rnacentral:SRP_RNA from 1 species
GCCAGGCACCUAUAGUCUCAGCUACUCAGGGGGCUGAGGUAGGACGAUCGCAUGCGCCCAGGAGUUCUGGGCUGUGGUGUGCUAUGCCAAUCGGGUGUCCGUGCUAAGUUUAGUAUCAAUAGGGUGACCUUCUGGGAGCAGGGACCACCAGGUUUCCUAAGAAGGAUUGACAUGGCCUGGGGCCAAAUGGAGCCGAUCAAAACUCCUAUGCUGAUCAGUAGCAGGAUAUGCCUGUGAAUAGCCACUGCACUCCAGCCUGGACAAUGUAGCACGACCCCGUGUCUU